GGCCGCUACCAGAUCUCCGCCCGUCGCUCCUACCGAUUGGGUGUGCUGGUGAAGAGUUCGGACUGGCCAGGCGCUCGCAAGGGCUCCCGGCCGGGAAGUUCUUUGAACCCUCUCGCCUAGAGGAAGGAGAAGUCGUAACAAGGUUUCCGUAGGUGAACCUGCGGAAGGAUCAUUUAUUCGAUCGUAACAACACGCCAAUCAAAGGUAACCACUCAGUAACCCCGGGGACCCCGACCCCCUCCCCCCCGCUCGCGGGGAGUUGGAGAGGGGAGCUCUCUCCGGGGCAAAAAUUUUUCUCACCACAACCGCCAAAGUUGAUUAUCAAGCUCAAGCAUUAACAAAGUCGCACCCGCACCCGGCACCGCCGGUCGGGCUCGCGCAAGCAACCAAGAAAAACCCCUAACAACGGAUGUCUUGGCUCUCGCAACGAUGAAGAACGCAGCGAAGUGCGAUAUGUAGUGUGAAUUGCAGAAUUACGUGAAUCAUCGAAUCUUUGAACGCAUAUGGCACCCGAGACCUCGGUCGAGGGUAUGUCUGCCUCAGAGUCGGCGUAAAUCAACUCCCUCCUUGGCCCAGCCAAGCAUGGGGAACUGACCCUCCCGCGCCGCGUGCGCGGGUCGGUCGAAGGCGAGAAACGGGUGUUGCCGGCCGGGACCGUUCCCGGCUGACCGAGAUUUGUUGGAGGACCAACGUCCUAUCUCCGUCUCGGGAAAAGGGUUACGGUCAGUGCCGAGCACUCCCGCCGUGCAGGAAAAACGAGGGCGCGUCGGAGUCCCCAGGGACCGAGACAGGAGCCCCCACUUGCAUCCGACCUGAGUUCAGGCAAGAUCACCCGCUGAACUUAAGCAUAUCAAUAAGCGGAGGAAAAGAAACUAACCAGGAUUCCCCUAGUAACGGCGAGCGAAAAGGGAAACUCUGGAAUUCGU
rnacentral:rRNA from 1 species